rnacentral:lncRNA from 1 species
AAUUAUUAUUAUUAUACCCCACGCAACGAAGUUGCGGAGGGUAUAAUGUUUUUGACCCGUCCGUCUGUCCGUCCGUCAGUCCGUCCGUCCGUCCGUCCAUCAGUCCGUCAGUCCUGUUUCUUGUCAUCGCAACUCCUCUCAAACCACACAACAGAAUUUCACACGAACCUUUUCAGAUAAUAAGGACAUACUAUGUAGUUGUGCAUAUCGACGGGAAAUUGCGAUUCGAUUUUUUUUCUAGGAGUUGUGCCCCUUUGAACUUAUUUACUUUAAUGUACUACUGCAACAGUUUGUCAUCGCAACUCCUCUCAAACCACACAACAGAAUUUCACGAAACCUUUUA